GACGAACGCUGGCGGCGUGCCUAAUACAUGCAAGUCGAGCGAAGCGGCGGAUGGGUGAGUAACGCGUGGGUAACCUGCCCUUGAGUCUGGGAUUCCAUUCGGAAACAUAUUCUCAUACCGGAUACUAAAGGAUGGAUCUGCGAUGCAUUAGCUAUUUGGUAAGGUAAAGGCUUAACAAGGCGAUGAUGCUGAGCCGGUUUGAUAGACUGAUCGGCCACAGUGGGACUGAGACACGGCCCAAACUCCUACGGGAGGCAGCAGUAGGGAAUCUUCCACAAUGGGCGAAAGUCUGAUAGAGCAACGCCGCGUGAGUGAAGAAGGUUUUCGGAUCGUAAAGCUCUGUUGUUGGUGAAGCGGUAAUCAACCAGAAAGUCACGGCUAACUACGUGCCAGCCGCCGGGGUAAUAC
rnacentral:rRNA from 1 species